rnacentral:sRNA from 1 species
AUUAAUUUUUCAUUUUGUUAACCUAAAACAAUUUCCAAAUAAGGGUAAAAUGGUCAUUAAAAAUUUAAAGAGGCUAGAAAUAAAAUUGGAUAAAAUAAAAGGGUAGAGUCGAAAAAGGGCAUCAUAAAAAGGGCAUUAGAAAGAAUUUUUCUUGAUAAGAUGAAUU